CAGUCGCCGCGGUAACACGAAGGGUGUAAGCGUUACUCGGAAUUACUGGGCGUAAAGCGUGCGUAGGUGGUGGUUUAAGUCCGUUGUGAAAUCCCCGGGCUCAACCUGGGAAUGGCAGCGGAUACUGGCUCGCUAGAGUGUGUCAGAGGAUGGUGGAAUUCCCGGUGUAGCGGUGAAAUGCGUAGAGAUCGGGAGGAACAUCAGUGGCGAAGGCGGCCAUCUGGGACAACACUGACGCUGAGGCACGAAAGCGUGGGGAGCAAACAGGAUUAGAUACCCCAGUAGUCCCUGUCUCUUAUAC
rnacentral:rRNA from 1 species